UUUAAAUCCUUGAUCUCCUCCUGGGAGGAACUAACGGGCAUCCAAAUAUGAGGCGGAAGACUGUGGGGGAUAUAAAGUGCUGGGCAUGUAAGAUUUACUGAUCAAAGGACACUUUGUUGGAGAUAAAUGUUAUGUUGACCAGGGGCGGAUAUAGGCACAAGCUGGGUUGGACUCAAGCCCCAUCAGGCUUUUUGGGUCCAAAAAAAAAAAAAUAGGUAUAUAGGUUUUUUUUUUUUUUUUGGAACACUUCUAGCAUCUCAAGCCCCACCGCCGAACUCCCGAGUCCUGAACCUGCUUCUCUUCCGAGUCUCGGUGUCUCUGGUCCAAGCUCCACCCAGCCCCCACCGCCGAGCUCCACCUCCAGCCUUUCAAGCCCUACCCAGCCCCCACUGCCGAACUCGGGGUUGGAGACUUGGAGCAUUCCCGAGUCCCGAAAACCUUGUGCAGCAACCUACAACUAGCAAUUUAGCAAACCCGUCUCCGGUCUCCGAGCUCCACCUCCAAGGGUGGACAAUGCAUAAUUGCUGACCGGCACUUCAAGUCUUCAAGCUACAAGUUUUGAUCUUGAAUUCUUGAUGUUGAAAUGGGUUUGACUGUUUGAUAACUUGAUUUCCAUUUAAUUAAGGUAAUGGAAAUGGGUUUGAUAAAUGAUAUUCAGUUGAAUGAGUUGAAUAGAAGAUUUUCAGACUCAGCAUCAGAACUCCUUAUACUUAGUUCAACCUUGGAUCCUCGUGAUAACUUCAGGAAUUUUAAAAUUGAAGGUAUUUGCAAUCUUGCAAAGAAGUUUUAUCCUGAAGAUUUUGAUGAUGGUGAAAUCACUGAAAUGUUUGCUCUAGAAUUAGAGUGUGCAUAUUAUGAAAAAGAUAUGCGUAGUGAUCCAAAAUUUCAGAAUUUGGAAUCCAUUUCUGAUCUGUGCCGGACCUUGGUUCAACGAAGGAAGUCAGAAUUUUUCCCUAUGCUUCAUAGAUUGAUUUGUCUGAUUUUGACUAUUCAUGUUUCUACGGCAACCACUAAAAGAGCAUUUUCAGAUAUGAACAUUGUUAAGAAUAAACUUAAAAACAAGAUGGAAGAUGAGUUUCUUGGUGAUUGUAUGGUACGUCCUUCACAUUGAGAAAGACUAUGUUGAAUCUAUUGACAACGACGAGGUGAUUAAAGAGUUUGAAGCUUCAUGUACUCGUAGAGUUAGAUUUAGUUAGUUUAUGCUCUUGUAUUAUAUUGCAUUGCACGUUUAUUUUAUUGUUGAGUUUAUUGUUUAAUUUUGUAUAUGCAUUUGAGGGGUAAGGGUCAUUAUGUCCCCCCUGACUAGUUGUAUCUUUUUUUUUUCAAUUAAUAAAAUUCUCUCGCACCGUCGAGAUUCUCUA